rnacentral:rRNA from 1 species
AUGCGGUACCGUGCUCGAUGUUCCCUUGAGUCGGCAUCUAAAUUGCCUUCAGAAUUAUACAGUCCUUGGCCUUCAGAGUCUCUGCAUCUGUUGGAUAACCUUGAGAAGGUUGCAUUGCAUGGUCGUACGACGUCCACGCAGGCAAGCACCCCUGAGCCGAAGGCCUCAUUCAAGCAAAGCUUGCAGCGUGGAGAAGCGAAAUCUCGGACAAAUCUGACAUCGCUGCACCUUGCAACAUGUUUGGCCACCAAUUCUCUUCAAGCCCAAGAAAAAGGCACCCCCAAAGCUUGCAGGAUAACGACCUGCAGAGAUCGUUCGUAA